rnacentral:rRNA from 1 species
AUUGAACGCUGGCGGCAUGCUUUACACAUGCAAGUCGAACGGUAACAGGUCUUCGGAUGCUGACGAGUGGCGAACGGGUGAGUAAUGUAUCGGAACGUGCCCAGUAGUGGGGGAUAACUACUCGAAAGAGUGGCUAAUACCGCAUGAGAACUGAGGUUGAAAGCGGGGGGACCUUCGGGCCUCGCGCUACUGGAGCGGCCGAUAUCAGAUUAGGUAGUUGGUGGGGUAAAGGCCUACCAAGCCGACGAUCUGUAGCUGGUCUGAGAGGACGACCAGCCACACUGGGACUGAGACACGGCCCAGACUCCUACGGGAGCAGCAGUGGGGAAUUUUGGACAAUGGACGCAAGUCUGAUCCAGCAAUGCCGCGUGUGUGAAGAAGGCCUGCGGGUUGUAAAGCACUUUCAGUGGGAAGAACAGAUUCGGGUCAAUACCCCGGAGCCCUGACGUUACCCACAGAAGAAGCACCGGCUAACUCCGUGCCAGCAGCCGCGGUAAAG